rnacentral:rRNA from 1 species
UAGGGAAUCUUCGGCAAUGGACGAAAGUCUGACCGAGCAACGCCGCGUGAGUGAAGAAGGUUUUCGGAUCGUAAAACUCUGUUGUUAGAGAAGAACAAGGACGUUAGUAACUGAACGUCCCCUGACGGUAUCUAACCAGAAAGCCACGGCUAACUACGUGCCAGCAGCCGCGGUAAUACGUAGGUGGCAAGCGUUGUCCGGAUUUAUUGGGCGUAACGCGAGCGCAGGCGGUUUCUUAAGUCUGAUGUGAAAGCCCCCGGCUCAACCGGGGAGGGUGAGUGGAAUCUGGGAGACUUGAGUGCAGAAGAGGAGAGUGGAAUUCGAUGUGUAGCGGUAAAAUGCGUAGAAAUAUGGAGGAACACGAGUGGCGAAGGCGGCUAUCUAGUAUGUAACAGACGCUGAGGCUCGAAAGGGUGGGGAGCAAACAGG